rnacentral:rRNA from 1 species
UGCCAGCAGCCGCGGUAAUACGGAGGGGGUUAGCGUUGUUCGGAAUUACUGGGCGUAAAGCGCACGUAGGCGGAUUAGUAAGUUAGGGGUGAAAUCCCGGGGCUCAACCCCGGAACUGCCUCUAAUACUGCUAGUCUAGAAUACGGUAGAGGGUGGUGGAAUUUCCUGUGUAGCGGUGAAAUGCGUAGAUAUAGGAAGGAACACCAGUGGCGAAGGCGACUACCUGGACCGAUACUGACGCUGAGACGCGAAAGCGUGGGGAGCAAACAGGAUUAGAUA